CUCUGCUUCUGGCUUGAGAUAAGGAACUGGAAAUCAGGAUGCUGCUGCUUGAAGACCAAAACCACGGCCAUACCAGGGAGGGAAUGGGGCAAGGCUGGAGUCAAAGUAAUCAUUUUCUUGAUGAUCAUUCCUUCAAGUCAGACCCCAAGCCAUUUGAAAAAGAAAGGAAAAAAGCCAGGAAGAAGAGCCCUGCAGAAGGCAGGCAUAUGCGGUAUAUCCUUUUAUGAGCAGUGCCCUGGGAGAGCUGCAAACCCAAACAGCUAAGUGUCCUGAAAACAGCUGGAAAAUUUCAAAUUACACACUUGGCUUGCAUCACUGUAGCUCUGGCAGGGAAGGGUGUUCCUGGCGCCGGCAACUCCCAAUGUUCAAGGGCUCAGCAAGCAAACAAGAACAGGUACAGGAAGUUAUUGUGGUGUUUGGGGCCCCUGUUUGUUUUCGUGCAGCUGA